AUUUUACUUCAAUAUUGCAUCCUCCAGAUUUAAUUACCAUGUAGUCCGUUUUUCGACAUACUGCAUCGUCACACAGUUUUAGAAAUUAAAAAAGAAGACAUUAUGACCAUUCGAUUACUCAUUCAUUCACCGACCGGUCAGUCGCAACCAAUCUUGUUCAUUCGUUUUUCGUGUGCAGCAUCGUCAACAUCGUAUCCUGUUAUAGUUGAUCGUGAAUUAUAAUUACACAUUAAAAACUGUACGAAACAUGGGAAAACGUAAACACAAACAUAAUGACAAGGAUAUUCGUCGCAAAAUUCGACGUUUGGAGGAUAAAUUGCGAUACAAUAGGCGCAAAGAUUUGGAUCGAAGAUCUGACUCCUCGAUGUCAGGUUCAUCACAAAGCUCUUACUAUGAUAGACAAUCACCAGAUGUCGAAGAUGUUGAAGGCAGAAAUAGCGAGUAUGGCGAAGACGAGAUGCUUCGUGAAGAAGCUUUUAUGGAAGAUGAGAUUCAUGAUAGUACUCGCGGCUUGGCAUCUCAAGUGCAGCCAGUGAUGAACAGCCGCAUAGCGAGCCCCUUGCCUCAGAUCGCAGUGGCGCCAGCGCCAGCUCCAGCGACAGCGCCAUCUUUGCCGCUAAUACCUACCGUACCGCCGGAACAUGCCGCCUCGGUCCAAACUAACCCCGCUCAGUCUGUACUACCCACAGAAAUAGAUAUAUCUACAACCGUACUCCCGCAAGAGAUCUUAUGUAUACUGGGAGAGGCAAAAAAGCUAGAUGAACCACUCGGUGAGUGCAUUCCUGAUGAGCUCUCUGAACGCUGGGGGAAAAUAUUAACGGACGGGCUGGCCAAGGAAGUGAAGCAGUCUCUCGUGGAUAAAAUACUGAUGCCUAGUAAUUUUUUACUAGCUCGAGCGCCUAAGUUAAAUCCGGAGGUGGCAGCAGUCAUUAAUGAAUCAGCAAAAAAUCGUGACAUGCGUUUAGAAAAAGCUCAAAAUCAACUGGGCCGGGGCAUCGCUGGACUUGCAAAUUUAGCAAAUGAUCUUAUAAAAUCAGAGUUGGAUAAACUUGAUAUCAUCAAGAAAAUUUCGGAAGUUACCCAAGUCCUGCUAGACCUUCAUUAUGAAGAAUCAAUCAACAGGAACAAACUCCUAGUUCCGUUGUUAGAUAAGAAGUUCUGGAACACAAUAAAAGGGGUUAAAAGAGACGAAUAUCUCUUUGGUGAAAAACUGGGUGAUAAAAUCAAAAACUCCAAAGAUAUAGAAAAGUCGGGUCAACAGAUUAAAAAAUCCUUCACAUUCAACCCGGCGUUCCAGCAUCGUAAGCAAGCAGCGCAGCCGGGAAACGCGAGAGCUCCUCCUCGUCAAUACAAGCCGAAAGCAACGCCAGCACUGACGACGGGCAGAUACUACGAGCCUCAGUCCUCGACGUCGGCGAGGAGGACGACUUCGAGCCAGCGUCGCGGGCGUCACUACUCGAACAACAGGGCGAACGAGCGGAGCCGGCGUUAGAGAGAGUGUCACCCCCUUUGGCGCAGCCUUACCCUGGCGUGCGCAGUGUUAUACGACAAGCCUACGUAAAACGCGGCAUACCGGAUGAUUGUAUUGAAAUAAUGUUACAAUCUUUAUCAAAGAAUACUCUUACUCAAUAUAAUGUAGGGUUAAAACAAUGGUUCGAGUUUUGUCAGGUGAAUAAUAUUGAUUUGUAUAAUGGUUCUGUUGCUGACAUCUUAAAAUUUCUUACAGAAAAGUACCAUGCAAACGCCAGCUAUGGCACAUUAAAUUCCUUUCGAUCCAGCUUAUCCUUGAUUAUGGAUAAAGACCGAUGUAAUAAUGAUUGUGUUUCGAGGUUCCUAAAAGGCGUUUUCAAAAGUAAACCGUCCUUUCCUAAAUAUAAUUAUAUAUGGGACCCUAAUUUAGUCUUAGAUUACCUGUCUGGUUUCUUUCCUAAUGAGUCGCUAACGAUAGAAAAUUUGACAAAGAAAUUGGUAACUCUUCUCGCGUUGUCAACGGGACAACGUGUGCAGACGUUAUCUUUAAUAAAUGUUGCAGAUAUCCAGAUACAAGAGUCCCGUAUUGUUAUUGUCAUUAAUGAGAUUAUUAAAACAUCUGCGCCUAACAGACAUAAUCCAAGACUGACUCUACCCUUUUUUAAGGAAAAAGCCACUAUUUGUCCAGCAUCAGCAUUAUCCUGUUACAUAGAAAGAACAUGUAAUUUUAGAUCCACUAUAAACUCGAACAAAUUGAUCUUGACAAUCAAAAAACCUAUUCACAAUGCUAGUCCCCAAACUAUCAGCCGCUGGAUAAAGCAAACGCUAAGUAAUAGCGGAGUGGACACCAAGACGUUCACCGCUCAUAGCACCCGGCACGCCUCGACGUCCGCAGCUAGCCGAUCUGGUAUUUCCACUGAUAUAAUUCAAAGAACAGCGGGGUGGUCGGGAAAUUCUCUUUGUUUUGCCCGCUUUUACAAUCAACCACUAAUAAAUACACAGGAAGAUUGUGUUUUUGCUCGAGCGGUAUUAAAUAGUUGAACUAGGUUCAUUAUGAUAAUUGAUUAGUUGAAUAAUCUGUGAUUAUUAUUAAUAUCUUGAAUAAUAUUGAUACAUUAUUUCUGAUUAACUUUGUAUACCUACAAUUGCAUAAUAAUAAUAAACUUAAAAUUAUUAAUUAUUAUGUUGCCUUUCAUUCUGCAACCAGCGCUAAACAUCUACAUGGUAAUUAAAUCUGGAGGAUGCAAUAUUGAAGUAAAAUUUAUGGUUAAAAGAACUUACCUAAGUGAAUUUCAACCAAAAUUUUACGAAAUAUUGCAUCCGAGAGAUUUAAUAUCCCGCCAACCCCAAAGAAUAAAGAACCCCAUGAUGCAGAAUAAAAGUCUGGGUUAAUAAUUAUAGCUCUAAAACAAAUGAACAAGAUUGGUUGCGACUGACCGGUCGGUGAAUGAAUGAGUAAUCGAAUGGUCAUAAUGUCUUCUUUUUUAAUUUCUAAAACUGUGUGACGAUGCAGUAUGUCGAAAAACGGACUACAUGGUAAUUAAAUCUCUCGGAUGCAAUAUUUCGUAAAAUUUUGCUUAAAUAGUGACCAAGUAUUUAAAACUAAACUUAAACUGCUUCUUAUAGAAAAAGCAUUCUACAGCAUUGACGAAUUUAUAAAUA